rnacentral:rRNA from 1 species
AGCAGCCGCGGUAAUUCCAGCUCCAAUAGCGUAUAUUAAAGUUGUUGCAGUUAAAAAGCUCGUAGUUGAAUUUCGGGAUCAAAUUGUCGGUCGUGCCUCGGUACGUACUGGCGUUAUUGGUUCCUCCCUUCUGAAGAACCGCGAUGUCAUUAAUUUGGUGUCGCGGGGAAUCAGGACUGUUACUUUGAAAAAUUAGAGUGUUUAAAGCAGGCUCGCGCUUGAAUACAUUAGCAUGGAAUAAUGAAAUAGGACGUUUGAUUCUAUUUUGUUGGUUUCUAGGAUCGACGUAAUGAUUAAUAGGGAUAGUUGGGGGCAUUAGUAUUCAAUUGUCAGAGGUGAAAUUCUUGGAUUUAUUGAAGACUAACUACUGCGAAAGCAUUUGCCAAGGAUGUUUUCAUUAAUCAAGAACGAAAGUUAGGGGAUCGAAGACGAUCAGAUACCGUCGUAGUCUUAACCAUAAACCUAUGCCGACUAGGGAUCGGAUGAUGUUAAUUUUUAAUGACUCAUUCGGCGCCUUACG